AUUGAACGCUGGCGGCAGGCCUAACACAUGCAAGUCGAACGAGUGGCGGACGGGUGAGUAAUGUCUGGGAAACUGCCUGAUGGAGGGGGAUAACUACUGGAAACGGUAGCUAAUACCGCAUACUAUCAGAUGUGCCCAUAUGGGAUUAGCUAGUGGGUGGGGUAACGGCUCACCAAGGCGACGAUCCCUAGCUGGUCUGAGAGGAUGAUCAGCCACACGGGAACUGAGACACGGCCCAGACUCCUACGGGAGGCAGCAGUGGGGAAUAUUGCACAAUGGGCGCAAGCCUGAUGCAGCCAUGCCGCGUGUAUGAAGAAGGCCUUAGGGUUGUAAAGUACUUUCAGCGGGGAGGCGUUACCCGCAGAAGAAGCACCGGCUAACUCCGUGCCAGCAGCCGCGGUAAUUC
rnacentral:rRNA from 1 species